rnacentral:rRNA from 1 species
CAGUCGCCGCGGGAAUACGUAGGGUGCAAGCGUUAAUCGGAAUUACUGGGCGUAAAGCGCACGCAGGCGGUUUGUUAAGACAGAUGUGAAAUCCCCGGGCUUAACCUGGGAACUGCAUUUGUGACUGGCGGGCUAGAGUAUGGCAGAGGGGGGUAGAAUUCCACGUGUAGCAGUGAAAUGCGUAGAGAUGUGGAGGAAUACCGAUGGCGAAGGCAGCCCCCUGGGCCAAUACUGACGCUCAUGCACGAAAGCGUGGGGAGCAAACAGGAUUAGAUACCCCGGUAGUCCCUGUCUCUUAUAC